GGGGCUACGGGCGCAGUGAGCGCGGCCACCUACAGCACGGUGCCGCGGGUCGCCUUCUACGCCGGCCUCAAGAACCCCCACGAGGGCUACGAGGUCCUCAAGUUCGACGACGUGGUCACCAACCUGGGCAACAGCUACGACGCCGCCUCGGGCAAGUUCACCUGCGCCAUCCCCGGCACCUACUUCUUCACCUACCACGUCCUGAUGCGCGGCGGCGACGGCACCAGCAUGUGGGCCGACCUCUGCAAGAACGGGCAGGUAAGGGCUGCCCGUCCCGGCCCCCCCUGCGGGAGCGGGAGCUCUGCUGUCCCCGAGCACGGGAGAAGGGCUACGGGCGCUUCCACGGGGUGCCCCGUCCUUUCCUGGCCCCAGCGAUGUGUCCUCUGGGUGUUCCAUCCUCCUCCUGGCCCCAGGAAUGCACCUCCAGGUUGCCACAACCUCUUUGUGCUGAUGAUGGACUGCGGGUGCUUCCCCAGGGGCCAUGUCCUUUUCCCAGCCCCAGAGAUGCAUUCCCAGGGUGUCGCAUCCUUCUCCCAGUGGCAGUGAUGGGCUCUGGGUCCAUCCCCAGGGUGUCACGUCCUUUUCCCAGUGGCAGUGAUGGGCUCUGGGUCCAUCCCUGGCGUGCUAUAUCCUUCUCCCAGACACUGACAUGCACCUCUGGGGUGCUUUGUCCUUCUCCCAGUGGUGAAGAUGGGCUCUGUGUGCUCCCCCAGAAUGCCCUAUCCUUUUCCUGUACCCCCAGGAUGCUCCGUCCCUCUCUCGGUGACAAUGACGGGAUUUGGGUGCAUUUCCAGGGUGCCACAUCCCUCUCCUGGGAGCAGAGUUGUAACCCCAGGGUGCCCUGCUCUCCUCGCAGUGACGUGAUGGACUCUGGGUGCACCAAGGGGGGGCUCUGUCCUGCUCCCAUCUCUGGAGCUGCCUCCUCACUGUGCCCCAUCCUUCUCUCAGUGCUGGAGAUGCUCCCCCAGGAUGCUCCUUCCUCCAGUGGCAAUGACAGGCUCGGGAUUCGUCCCCAGGGUGCUCCCCGCGCUGAAGGAGCGCCCCAUGGGGUGCCCUGUCCUUCCCCAGAGCAGUGCAGGGCUCCGGGUGCGCCCCUGGGGUGUCCCAUCCUCCUCCGACUGCCAGACGCUGCCCCGCGUGCCCUGUCCCUCCCCCAGUGCUGGGGACAAUCGCCAUCAGCCCCUGACGUGUCCCCAGGGGCUCCCUCAGCUCUUUCCUUGGCCACGGAGAUGUUCCUUGUGGUGUUUUGGGGCACCCCCACAGCGCCCCCGGGGUCCCCCCGGCCAUGCCAUUGUC
rnacentral:lncRNA from 1 species